CGCGCCGCCGCCCGGCCUUUAUCCGCCGGGAGCGGCACGCCCUCCGCCGCAUCAACCCCGCUCCCCGCCGCACCGGCCCGCGGGGGCCGGCCUGGGUUGGGUUGGGUUGGGUUGGGCCGGGCCGGGCCGGGCCGGCCUGGCCUGGCCUGGCCUGGCCUAGCCUAGCCUAGCCUAGCCUAGGAUGGCGUGGCGUGGCAGAGCCCUUGAUGAACGGGGGCCGCGCUGGGCCGACACUCACCUGGCCGAGGUGCCGGGCGGGGCUGGGGCGCGGCCCCCGGGCACGGGCAGGAGUGCAGCUGGACUGGAGCUAGUUCCCGGCCGGGGUGCAGACCCCUCGCCCCACAGACAAAUGAAACCCGCAGUAGCAACAGGAGCGCAGCCCCCGACCCACCCGCACCACAGCCCCACGCAGGCGACACAGGUCGCCGAGACAUCUCAUGACACUUCCUGGGUCUCUGAAAGCUGCGGUGAGCUGUCCCUGCGUGUCCCUAUCCUGUGCCGACCCGAUCAUCCUCCCCUUGGGUGCAAUCCAGCACGGACUUACGGUCUUGGCUUUGCUUCCAGGAGCUGCUCCACUGAUUCAAGCAAAGUGUGUUACCUAUUUACAUCAAGGCUGCCACACUGAAAGGUGCAGGUGUCUAUCAGAGAAAACAAAUCCAUUAAAACACAAUCAAUACAGUCUUAUUUAAUUAAAUUACUAUCGUCAUUCUCAGGUAGAAAAUUAGAAUACAAAUGUCCAAUUAUUUUCUUUUCAAGAGUUUUUUUCUAAUCCUUCCACUAAACCAUCACACCAUAGUUUUCUCUCCAGUGACCUAAUAGAUUCUUCCCCCAGGCUAAUUUAUAUUAGGUGCAUUUGUUAACAAUGGAUUAAGAAAGAACCAGAUAUGAAGGUGAGGUAAAGUGAGAGUUAUGUCUAAACUUCUAUUGUUCCCUAAUCAGCAUUGCCUCCUGUUUUAAAACUAUCAAAGAAAUCAGAGAUCAGAUUUAGUAUACUGAAAUGUUGAGGUGUAUCUCGUGGCACAGCAGCCACUGCCCUUUCCUCAAAUUACAAAGCCAAGCAGCAGGAAGCUUUUAUUAUUCAAAUAAAAACUGACAUUAAGUGAGAGUUUUAAUUUACAGCACAAAACUAGUGGCAGGGCAUAGAGAUAUUGCAGUCAGGUACAGGCUGUGUCUCUGCGAGCAGCUCUGCUGAGAGCACAGGUUUGUCCAGCCCAGGGGAAAGCAGCCUGGAAACAUGGAGCUGAGCCUUUUCUCAAGGACUUCUCUCCCAUCAUCCAGUACUUCAUCUUUUAAUAGAUACUAAUUGCUUAUUGACUUUGGCCUGGGUUGGGACUCCUUAGCAACCAUUCCACAUCCGGAUUAGCUGAUUGCUUAUAAUAUUUUUAUUUCCGUUCCUUUUCACUCCCACACCUAGUAAUGCACACGAUUUAAUAUCAUUUUGUGCCCAUGCCAUGCUGGAAGUUGAAGCUUCAGACACUGUUUUUUCUGUAACAAAGGCAGUGAAUAGGAAUCACACAGGAAAAAGACAGAAUUCAUAUUAGGACCUCUAUUUUUAACCGAUGUAUUUAGUUAAAAUUUUCAAUAAAAGUAAUUUUUUCCAUAGACCCAGCAAAGAAAUUUUUCAGCCCAAUGUUAUACUGUGCAAUCACAAGCUCUGCACACAUAAGGACAGUGGUUUCUUUGAGUGGUUUUCCACCAUUCCUUCCAUCCAUCCAUCCAUCCAUCCAUCCAUCCAUCCAUCCAUCCAUCCAUCCAUCCAUCCAUCCAUCCCAUCAGAAGCACCGAGGCACAAAACCAGGUGUAAAGUGCUCAGCAAAGCUCCAGCACAGACAUGCAAGCCCAGCUCACCCCAUCAGACUCAGGACAAGUGGCACAGUCAGGGCUGUUGCUGUUGUGACCAUGCAGGGUUGGUGGGGUACUGGUGGUCUGCAGUAGCCCUUGUCACAGCUGCCCUUCCCUGCACAUCACAGGGCUUUUGAUCAGAAUUCAGCCUUUUGCAUCCUGACUGCUUUCAUGAUUAUUGAGAAACAAAGACUGCUUUAUGGGAAGAGAAUGAAAAAAGCAAAAUAAUUUCUGCUCCAAGGAACAGAUCUUGUUUCGUUCCUUUCUUCCCAGUCACAGAUGAUCCUCACAGCUACAGUCUGAUCAAGAUUUCUGGUUGACAGGAAGCAGAGAGGCAGCCCCUGCCUGCAUGGCACCCCAUCGCCUGCACAGGUGACUGAGAUCAGGAGAGGUGCCCUGUCUGAGACCUUCCUGGCCACAAAUGUGAUAUCCAGCUGUGGCAGCAACUGCAGGGCUGGGCAUCAAUGCCUGGUCUUAUCCACUGAUGAGAGAGUCCCUCUGUAAGGCUCUGUGAUCAGAUUCCUCUUGGGGUCACAUUUGACCUCAAAAACUGUAUUUCCUUUGAAAUGAAGUUGGAAGACAGUUUAACACAAGUGAACCUGUGUUUCAUCAGGAGACAGAGAAAUAAAAACAAGCUAAACCAUGAA